UCUUUGCCGGGUCAAGGAGAUUGGUUGGGUUCUUUGCUUGCUUAUUCCACUUCUUUCAGUGGGAGGAUUUUCAUCAUCAGCAGCAGGUGGGCUUGGGCUCAGUUCAUCGAUUGCUGUGGAUUCUGUUUCAGUAGAAGAUUCUAUUCAUGAGGAGUGAGGAGUAGCGGUUCGCGUUCUUUCAAUAGUAGUUCUCUCUCCCCUUCAUCUAAUCCGAUCUCUUGGUUGGUCUGGUCCUUCCAUGAGGAAAAGGCUCGCAAUGGCUUGAUUCUUUUAGUGAAAACGUGAGCCGAGGCUCUGCUCUCUUCUGGGUCUAGGUAUGUGAUAAAGGUUCUCAAAAGGGCAUUCUUUUUUAGUAUAGUAACAUCUGCCCCUCCUUUAAUGAUAGUCUUUCUUUCUUUCUUUCCUAGCCAGUCUCCUCAAGGCUUGGUCCAAGCGGAAGAAGGGCUGUGCUAGUGAAUCGAGAUGCGAGAUGCUAGUUUAUCGAAAAGUCUUUUACAGUAUUAUUGAAGUGAACUUUCAGCAAUAGCCGAGUUCAUCGAAGAAGCAGAAGAGGAGAGAGGAGGAAUCUGUCGCUACUGUAGUAGCUCUUUUGUCUUUAUCUGUCGGUCCAAAACGAGCGUAUCGGUCCAUUCCGUAUUCCCGUUCUCUUAUAAAGAAUGGGUCUCUUCCCCUGGCCUCGUUAUCUCUCACAAGUCUCUCUGGUAUAGGCAAGGGCUCAUCUGUGAAUGAAUCCAUUUACUAUAUUCCUCUCCUCCUCCCCCAGUCUGGUCCCCUUCUUUGUAUCGGUCUUUGUUGCGGAGCUGAGGUCGAAAGGAGCUUUGGGAAAGUCCCCAACUGGUCUUGACCGACCAACUGCCGAAAUGCCCUUGCUUGGGUCAGCUCUUCGGGGGUCAAGUCUUUUGACAAGCUUUUCUGAGGCCACCUUUCUUAGUAAAGGCUUUUGUUUGUGGUCUGCGAUGGGUCUAGCCCCGUGAGCCUCUCCAAACGUUCUCAAAUCGGCCUCUUUGUUGUUGUUGUUACGGGCGUACGGUACUACGGCCUUUAUUAUUCCACUUUCUCAAAAUGUAGAGCAGCGAAUCGAGAGUCUCUCGCUAUGUCCCCAUUCCUUUCUUCGAUUCUAUGGCCGAUCUUCUUUAAUCCAAAGCUGGUGCAAGCAAUCUCAUAGGUGGAUUCACAGGGAUGAGAUAGGAGAGCAUCAAGCAAGAAAAGGCUUUUACUAAAUAAGGCUGGUUCUUCUAAGCAAUUAAAGGGCUGAUAUGCUUUCAUUAUAUGGGCAAUGCCACUCUACUUUUGUAGAUCGUAUGGAUGUAGAAAAAGCUUCUGAUAUUGAUGAAUUGGAAACAUAUCUUUUCCAUUUCUAUUUACCUAGUUUAUAUUUUUCUUUUGUGUGUUUUGGUACCAUACCAGGCAGCGGCUAUCUUUCUUCUUCGCCCUUGUUUGCUUAUCACACCAUUUCUUGGUGUGGUUGGCAGUGGCCUAUGCCUAGGGAUGCAUCUUUGGCUCCAUGGCCUCUCAAUCAAAUCUUGAAAUGAAUACACGACAAACAAGACAAGAUAGUCAGAUUCAUCAAACACUCAUUAAACUAGCACACCCAAGAUCACAAACCUC
rnacentral:misc_RNA from 1 species